rnacentral:ncRNA from 7 species
GUAAAAAAUUUAUAAGAAUAUGAUGUUGGUUCAGAUUAAGCGCUAAAUAAGGACAUGACACAUGCGAAUCAUACGUUUAUUAUUGAUAAGAUAAUAAAUAUGUGGUGUAAACGUGAGUAAUUUUAUUAGGAAUUAAUGAACUAUAGAAUAAGCUAAAUACUUAAUAUAUUAUUAUAUAAAAAUAAUUUAUAUAAUAAAAAGGAUAUAUAUAUAAUAUAUAUUUAUCUAUAGUCAAGCCAAUAAUGGUUUAGGUAGUAGGUUUAUUAAGAGUUAAACCUAGCCAACGAUCCAUAAUCGAUAAUGAAAGUUAGAACGAUCACGUUGACUCUGAAAUAUAGUCAAUAUCUAUAAGAUACAGCAGUGAGGAAUAUUGGACAAUGAUCGAAAGAUUGAUCCAGUUACUUAUUAGGAUGAUAUAUAAAAAUAUUUUAUUUUAUUUAUAAAUAUUAAAUAUUUAUAAUAAUAAUAAUAAUAAUAUAUAUAUAUAAAUUGAUUAAAAAUAAAAUCCAUAAAUAAUUAAAAUAAUGAUAUUAAUUACCAUAUAUAUUUUUAUAUGGAUAUAUAUAUUAAUAAUAAUAUUAAUUUUAUUAUUAUUAAUAAUAUAUUUUAAUAGUCCUGACUAAUAUUUGUGCCAGCAGUCGCGGUAACACAAAGAGGGCGAGCGUUAAUCAUAAUGGUUUAAAGGAUCCGUAGAAUGAAUUAUAUAUUAUAAUUUAGAGUUAAUAAAAUUAAUUAAAGAAUUAUAAUAGUAAAGAUGAAAUAAUAAUAAUAAUUAUAAGACUAAUAUAUGUGAAAAUAUUAAUUAAAUAUUAACUGACAUUGAGGGAUUAAAACUAGAGUAGCGAAACGGAUUCGAUACCCGUGUAGUUCUAGUAGUAAACUAUGAAUACAAUUAUUUAUAAUAUAUAUUAUAUAUAAAUAAUAAAUGAAAAUGAAAGUAUUCCACCUGAAGAGUACGUUAGCAAUAAUGAAACUCAAAACAAUAGACGGUUACAGACUUAAGCAGUGGAGCAUGUUAUUUAAUUCGAUAAUCCACGACUAACCUUACCAUAUUUUGAAUAUUAUAAUAAUUAUUAUAAUUAUUAUAUUACAGGCGUUACAUUGUUGUCUUUAGUUCGUGCUGCAAAGUUUUAGAUUAAGUUCAUAAACGAACAAAACUCCAUAUAUAUAAUUUUAAUUAUAUAUAAUUUUAUAUUAUUUAUUAAUAUAAAGAAAGGAAUUAAGACAAAUCAUAAUGAUCCUUAUAAUAUGGGUAAUAGACGUGCUAUAAUAAAAUGAUAAUAAAAUUAUAUAAAAUAUAUUUAAUUAUAUUUAAUUAAUAAUAUAAAACAUUUUAAUUUUUAAUAUAUUUUUUUAUUAUAUAUUAAUAUGAAUUAUAAUCUGAAAUUCGAUUAUAUGAAAAAAGAAUUGCUAGUAAUACGUAAAUUAGUAUGUUACGGUGAAUAUUCUAACUGUUUCGCACUAAUCACUCAUCACGCGUUGAAACAUAUUAUUAUCUUAUUAUUUAUAUAAUAUUUUUUAAUAAAUAUUAAUAAUUAUUAAUUUAUAUUUAUUUAUAUCAGAAAUAAUAUGAAUUAAUGCGAAGUUGAAAUACAGUUACCGUAGGGGAACCUGCGGUGGGCUUAUAAAUAUCUUAAAUAUUCUUACA